CCUCCUUUCUCUUUUAAGUUUUCACUGAAAUCGUCUCCCCUCUUCUUCUGCAAAAGAAAUCUUAUUUUCUUUUUAAAAUGGAAUUCAAGCAUAACCCACCAUCCGUUUCCGGCUGAAUUUGUAUUCUGCAAGCGUAAGAGCGGAGCUUGCAGCAGUAAGCCGGGCAUAGCUUACGACAGGCUUUUAGUGCUUCGAAAGUUGGUAUUUUGCUAAGCUAAUGAUAUGUAUAUCACGGGGUCGUCUUGGAUAGUUGUAUAUCGGCAUUAACCUACAACUUGGUGGCGUUGCAUUUUGGGUGCAAGGUCAAAUUUUGGAUUUUUAUUUUGACUGCAUGUAUACCUAUCUUUUACUGCCAGGUCUUAAAUUUAUGUAUUACUAUCUGUCAAACUUUUAUUUUUAUAUAUACUUAAGUCAUGUUCUAGCUACAAGACCAAUUAAAAUGGAUGUCAGUUGGCCUUGUUUAGUACUGUGUGUUCAUCUUGUUGUGAACUAUUACUUAAGUGUGUUAUACGUGACAUGUCAUGCACUUUAUUUUGUUCUUAAUCUCCUCAUCUACUCUUUUGCUCCUUAAGUUAAAAAUCCCCCACUUAGUUGAGAGAAUGUGGAUGGUGGAGUCUGACUUUUGGAAAGAAUUUGAAUCUUCUUUCUUUUGUUUUAAAUUAACCGGUGAUAUUAGUUGCCAUGUUGACUAAGUUUGAUACUAGUUUUUUUUUUCAAUUACGUGCAGUCCUUUUAGCUUGUCAAAUUUUAUAUUUUAUUUUGUAUCCAGAAAUGCAAGUAGAGGUUAAAAUGUUUUCUCUUCGGGUUUGUUCGAGUCAACGGACUAAAGGGUUUCAUUUUAAAUCUCAAACAAAUUUUGAGUACUGGACUCUUGUAAAUUUACUAGUAUUUGACACUCUCUUUACGUGUCUUUGUGUUUUAAGUAUCAUUUCAUGUUUCGAGUUGCGCGACCGUGGUUUAACCUUGCUAGACUGGUUGUGAAACCCAACCAGUUAGAAGGGAAAAUUUACCGUCCGUUACAGUUGGUAUUCAGAGCAAAGGUUCCGAUUUACCGGGACUGUGUUUGAUUUUCUUGUUUGAUUAAGUCAGUUGAUUUUGUCAUUUUGUUUUGGGGACCUGGGAAAAGCCAGAAACUGUGAUAUACAUAUCAUGCUCUGUGUUAGUAAUGUACAUUACUAACAAUUGUGAAUCUGACGCAUGUGUUGUUUUGAAGAUAUUGUCGUGGUGUGAGGAAUUUGUAGCCCCAAGUUUCAUCCAUAGGAUUCUCAAGCUCUGUACUCAAGGAAGAAAAAAAAAAAAUCUAAGCGGAAGAACUGCACGCCUUGAGAACGUUUGGAACAAUUGAUAAGUUCGAUGAUGACUACCGUAUAUGAAGUUACAGACCGCAAGCAAUUGAAUACUACUAUAGACUUGAUGGAAUUCAGGAAAAUUGUCUGAAAUGACUGAAUAUUUAGUAAGAGUGAGGGUUAUUUCAAACCAAAGAAGUGGUUGAUUGGUAUUAAGAAGGAGUUCGAUACUAGGAAAGUACCAGAGGAGGACAAGUUUAGGCUUGCAUUAAGGUAGGGGGUUUUUCUUACUGUUAGCCAUGGAAUUUAAAUUGUGCCUUGCUUUUUCUUUUAAUUCAGCCUUCUUAAUAAUCUAAUGAGGUAUUUCAUUUCUUUUAGCAUGCUAUAUGAUUUUCUGCUACUUAUCAAAAUGAAAAGUAUGAUGCAAAUACAUAUUAUUUUGAAUUUUCUUUUAAAUUACCCGUUACCUGUUUGCUAAAAUAGAAAUCUUGAAUGCCGUUUGAGUUCUUGGACAGAUUUGCCUUGGUUCCUGUUUUAAAACCUUGAGUGUUGACGUUGGUCAGUAGUGAGUAUUUUUAACCAAAAUGUCAUUUCUUGGCAUGUUUCCUUGUUAACCAUUUAUACACAAGUGACACUUUCUUUCUGGACGUCUUUGUAUUUAUAAUUGCUUUGUUUUUAAAGGAAACGAAGCUUAAUUGGUUAUCUAGACCUUCAUUUUGAUACACCCCUUGUUUUUACUACUCAUUGUGUUAAAAGAUUUAAUAGUUCACUCUUGGGAUCUGAUGUUCUCUGUUUUAUUCUUUCAUUUGAUUCGGUGACUUCCUGUUGGCUUUUCAACUUUCUGUCCCUUCAGUGCUAAGUUUACACAGAUUUUUUUUCAACCAACUUGGUUUUGGAUCACUGGUGGUUUCACUAUUUUACACCCACUCACAUAAGCUGCUUUGCCAUGUUUACUUUCCCAUUUAUUAGACAUGCUUUUCUUGGAUGCAAAUUUUGUUUUGACCCAAUGAUCCGUAAGUGAAAGCCGAGCAACAAUGAGCCGAAUAGCCAUUAUAGUCAUCGUCAAUGGUCGAAUAAGAGUGGGAAUUUGUUGGUGUGGAUUUUCUGAGGAGUUGCCUGAGGUGACAAUUUAUGACUAACCAAGUCAGGUUGUCAUAUUUUAUGGUUAAGCAUACAAAAUGUUGCCACUCCUUAUGCGACUUGUACUUCACAUGGAUUAUCAUGAUACAUGGAAUUCCUUCAUCAACCCGUUUAAAGCGACCUCUUGUUCACGUCCAAGUGUUAGGAAGUUUCCGGCUAGCUAAGAGCAUCAAGCUAGAUUUGAUUAUUGCUUUCCAUCCUCAGUAAAUGUUCAAGAGUAGACUUUUAAAAAUUAGGAAGACAUGUUGUAGGCACGUGUACGACUUCAAAGACAGUUGGAGGAUGCUCUCGAAGUGAAUCACAUAUCCAAGAUUCGAAGAUGCGACGUUGACCCUUAUCACGUGAUUAGGUGACGAGAUUCGCAGUCGUGCAAGAUCAUAACUUAUGAUCAAAAGUCGGUACUCGUUAUCGUUAUCAGCUGGAUCAAGUCCUUCGGGUUAAAACCAUUUAGAUGACGAAAGAAGCAUAGCAGCAUCACUCUCUAGAAGAAGCUUAAAGAAAGCUGGAGUUCUACAGGAGGGGCAAGUAACCGGGCUUCUUGAAGCGUAAGAGCGGAGCUUGCAGCAGUAAGCCGGGCAUAGCUUACGACAGGCUUUUAGUGCUUCGAAAGUUGGUAUUUUGCUAAGCUAAUGAUAUGUAUAUCACGGGGUCGUCUUGGGUAGUUGUAUAUCGGCAUUAACCUACAACUUUGUUACGUUGCAGUUCGGGUGCAAGGUCAAAUUUUGGAUUUUAUUUUGACUACAUGUAUGCCUAUCUUUUACUGCCAGGUCUUAAAUUUAUGUAUUACUAUCUGUCAAACUUUUAUUUUUAUAUAUACUUAAGUCAUGUUCUAGCUACAAGACCAAUUAAAAUGGAUGUCAGUUGGUCUUGUUUAGUACUGUGUGUUCAUCUUGUUGUGAACUAUUACUCAAGUGUGUUAUACGUGACAUGUCAUGCACUUUA